rnacentral:rRNA from 1 species
GGGAUAACAUUUGGAAACAGAUGCUAAUACCGCAUAACCACAGAAACCACAUGGUUUCUGUGUCAAAGAUGGUUUCGGCUAUCACUUUGGGAUGGACCCGCGGCGUAUUAGCUAGUUGGUAAGGUAAUGGCUUACCAAGGCAAUGAUACGUAGCCGAACUGAGAGGUUGAUCGGCCACAUUGGGACUGAGACACGGCCCAAACUCCUACGGGAGGCAGCAGUAGGGAAUCUUCCACAAUGGACGAAAGUCUGAUGGAGCAACGCCGCGUGAGUGAAGAAGGUUUUCGGAUCGUAAAACUCUGUUGUCAGAGAAGAACGUGUGCGAGAGUAACUGCUCGUGCAGUGACGGUAUCUGGCCAGAAAGCCACGGCUAACUACGUGCCAGCAGCCGCGGUAAUACGUAGGUGGCAAGCGUUGUCCGGAUUUAUUGGGCGUAAAGGGAACGCAGGCGGUCUUUUAAGUCUGAUGUGAAAGCCUUCGGCUUAACCGAAGUCGUGCAUUGGAAACUGGGAGACUUGAGUGCAGAAGAGGAGAGUGGAACUCCAUGUGUAGCGGUGAAAUGCGUAGAUAUAUGGAAGAACACCAGUGGCGAAAGCGGCUCUCUGGUCUGUAACUGACGCUGAGGUUCGAAAGCGUGGGUAGCAAACAGGAUUAGAUACCCUGGUAGUCCACGCUGUAAACGAUGAAUGCUAAGUGUUUGGAAGGGUUUCCGCCCCUUCAGUGCCGCAGCAAACGCAUUAAGCAUUCCGCCUGGGGGAGUACGACCGCAAAGGUUGAAACUCAAAAGGAAUU